UAUGCUCCUACCUAAUGUAGCGCCCGAUUCUCGUUAAUGCUGAGUCAUCAGGAGCCUGGCCGAGCAGAUUGAUUUGGGCCAAUAUCAGAGGAUUGUUCUUGUGUGUGCAUGUGGCUGGUGCACACAGGCUAUCAUAUUCUGAAACAAGCAUGGGCACAUUCAGUCAAGCAAGCGUCAUCUUCCUUUUAAUGUGUGGCGAAUGGCGCAUUGUUCAAGCAUGCAAACACAACGAGCACAAAGUCCAUUGUGAUAAACACGUUGGCGUCCCCGGAGACUUGUGUCCAGGGGUUGAGCGAUGGCCAUGCACCGGAAUGAGGAAAAGGUGUGCAUGCGUGAAAGGAACAUUCCAGAGGUGGGACGCCCACUGCGUGCCCUACAGGGACUGCGUCGUCAGGAC